ensembl:snRNA U6 U6 spliceosomal RNA
GUGCUUGCUUCAGCAGCACAUAUACUGAAAUUGGAAUGAUACAGAGACAAUUAGCAUCACCCCUGUGCCAGGAUAACACACAGAUUUGUAAGGCAUUUCAUAUUAAA